rnacentral:tRNA from 1 species
GCCCCCCUGGUGGAAUUGGUAUACACGGCAGGUUGAGGGCCUGUGCCCGUAAGGGCGUGGGAGUUCGAGUCUCCCGGGGGGCA